GACGAACGCUGGCGGCGUGCUUAACACAUGCAAGUCGAACGAAGAGCGAUGGAAGCUUGCUUCUAUCAAUCUUAGUGGCGAACGGGUGAGUAACGCGUAAUCAACCUGCCCUUCAGAGGGGGACAACAGUUGGAAACGACUGCUAAUACCGCAUACGAUCCAAUCUCGGCAUCGGGACUGGAUGAAAGGUGGCCUCUAUUUAUAAGCUAUCACUGAAGGAGGGGAUUGCGUCUGAUUAGCUAGUUGGAGGGGUAACGGCCCACCAAGGCGAUGAUCAGUAGCCGGUCUGAGAGGAUGAACGGCCACAUUGGGACUGAGACACGGCCCAGACUCCUACGGGAGGCAGCAGUGGGGAAUCUUCCGCAAUGGACGAAAGUCUGACGGAGCAACGCCGCGUGAGUGAUGACGGCCUUCGGGUUGUAAAGCUCUGCUAAUCGGGACGAAUGGUUCUUGUGCGAAUAGGGCGAGGAUUUGACGGUACCGGAAUAGAAAGCCACGGCUAACUACGUG
rnacentral:rRNA from 1 species